ACUCCAACAUAUCAUUUUGUUGAUGCAAUUGAAACAAUUACAAUUACAAUCUGUAAUUGUGUAUUGUAAUACAGUUGAUUGUAAACUGAUAAAAUAAUUAGAUUAAAUUGAAGGGUAACAAUUUAAUCAACAAACAAUCAGUGUAACGGUGAUGAUAACAUACAGAAAAAGUUAAACAAAGUAAUAACUAUCACAAGGGUGGAAGGCUAAUUGAAGACAAAUUGUUGCAAACGAUAAUUAUAUUGAAUGAUGAUGAACAAGAAUUGAUGAUGAUGAUGAUGAUGGAGAUGAAGGUCAAGGAGAAAGUGGGUCAUUAACUGUAAAAGAUAUUAAAACUAUUCAAGAUGAUGAAAGAAAACAAAAAGUAAAUAAAGAAACAGUAGUUGAUAAACAAAGAUUCAUAAUCUAUUAUUAUUGUUAUCACAAUUAACUGAUUGUUAUCUACAUCCGAAUGGCGAUUUAAUAAUAACCAGCAUUAAUUUGGCCUCGGGUGAAAUUGUUACCUUUUCAUUGACCAAUGAGAAUGUCCAACUGAUCUUAAAUUGUCGAUAAUUGUAAUCAAACAUCGAGAGAAUAAAAAGUUUAAUUAUUUUCUUUUUCCCUCUCAACACAUUCGUUUCCAUGGUGAUUCCCUCAAAUUUUUUUUCUUUUCCUUCCAUAAUCUCAUUUUCUUUCAAUUAGAUGAAACUCAUUUAAAUUUAAUUCUCUUGAAAGGUUAAUUGUGAUUUAAUUGAUUGGACUUUUCUCUCGAUGUUUGAUUGUAAUUGAUGAUGGAGAAGAAGGUGAAUCUUUUCUGGAAUUACAGACGGUUGAUAAUGGUAACUGGAUAAUCUCAGCGUGAUGUUAAAAGGUAUUUUCAUCAGUAUAGUCUAAUGAUUAUCAGACAUCAUCAAUUUAUCUACAACAAUCUUAAUCAUCAUCAUCACAAUACUUUAGAGAAAUCUUCUUUUUUUUCUGCUCUUUCUAUUCUUACACUUGAUUCCAUUUGAAUUACUGACCAGUCCGUUUAUACAAAUAGUACAGACAUUUGGACCAAACCACUGUUGGUAUUUUUAAAAUGUACUUUAAGCGCGAUUGUGUUUGGCGAUAAUCCAUCAAAUGAAAGAGUCAAAUGAUUAUGAUGAUAAAAGAUAACUGUGAUGAUGAUCCUGGUGAUGAUCAUGGCGAUGAUGAUGAUAAGAGUAACUUUGAUUAAUUGGUUAUAGAUACAAAGUGUAUGAAGAUAACUUGACUUGAAGAAACUUGGUUAUCAUGAAGAAACAUGAUCACCAGUUAUGUGAGUUAAUUUUUUCAUCCCAAUCAGUUUAAUCAAAUUUUUCACCUCUAAAUUAAUCAGUAAAUUGAUUGCGAAAAACAAAACAAAAAAAGAUUCAAAUUCUUUCAGGUCACCAUCAUCAGAACAUCGCAAUACAUGAUGAUUGGAUUUACAAUCAACUUGAUUACAACUUAUUGGGAAUCAAUGAUAACAUUUUAACUACUGAUAGUUAGCCAAAGAAGUCAAGAUCAAUCAACGGAACCGAAAAGUGAUCUUCCAUGUGAAAAAAUCGAUACACUAACAUUGACAUGGACACAUUCAAGUGAAUAAGAAGUGACAAAAAAAAUUGGUUGAAUAUGAUCAUCACUUACCCUUGACCUUUUCUUGGCUUUGUAUUGUAAUCCUUAAUUUGUUGACAAAAACUUUGAUUGUCACAAUUAAGGGUUGUUGUUGUUGUUGUUGUUGAUAUAAUAACUAUUAUCUGACUCAAACAAUUUACCCUUCAAUGGACGACAACACUUAGUUUAUAAAAUUUUUUUUCUCCAUCUUGAUCAAUCCUUAAUCAAAUUAGGUUGUUGUUGAUUGUAAGAAACUUCAUUAUCAUUAUCGUUGAUUCAAAUCACAAUUUAGAAAUUAAUAUUUCCAAGUCUAGGUCAAUUCUAAUCCUAUUUACUUAAACCCUUAUAUUGUUAAAAUUAGAUUACAACCAUUAUCAUUUUCAUAACACUUAAUCAUUACUAUCAAUUGAAAUUGAUUAACUUCAUUCUCAAUGAUUAGGAAAAUUAAUUUUCUUCACCUGUUAACUAAUAAUAAGAUUAACUUGCUUACAAUUAUUAUUAGUAACUGGUAAUAAGAAAUUAAUUAUUCUCAUUCCCAUAUUCAUGAUUUGUUAAUUCUGUCUGUAUUUAUGCCUAGUGACAUGAUUAACUAAUCACCAGUAUAUAUAUGAUAACAAUUAACUGGUGAAGAAAAGUUUAAUUCAAUUAACUGAAUAGUAUGUGAAUGUUGACAAAUUUUUUUCCCAAAGAAUCUGAAUCAACAAUUAUCAUUAACUGUUAACGUGGUAACUUUAUGAUAACUAUGAUUAACUUUAAAUUGACAUAAAAAUUUUAUCCCGUUAAUUGUAAUAAUUUAUCAGCCUUCAAUUAACAUUAUUAAUUGUUUUCCAGUCUUUCUUUAAAUUUAGUCUCUUAGGUUUUAAACUAAAUUUAGAAAUGAAUGUAAAUUUUUAAUUAAAAAUCGCCAAUCAUCAUUUAAAAAUAAUCAAUUGCAAAUGAAAAUAUUUACAAUUAACAAUUUAAAACCUCAGGGUAAAGUGAUUAGUCAAUGAUUUCAAUCUAACAACAAAAUGAUUAUUAAUUAUCAGCUGAUUAGCUGAUGAAAUUGAUUUUCUAUCCCAAGCUUAACUUUAGCGUAAAAUUAAUCAUCUAAUUAUCUUUACAGAUUUGCAACAAUCAAACAUGCAGAUUAAUUGUAAUGAUUAAACCAUCGACAAGAUAAACCGAAACAAUUAAUCAAAUGAUUUUCAAAUGGACCAUCAAGAGCUAAAAUUAAUCAACCAGGAAGGAAACAAUUAACUAAUCAACAUGGAAACCAAAGCCAAGAAAAAAUUUUCUGACCUCUUAACCAAAAUCAAAGCCAAGUAAAAGAUUUAAUUUAAUUGUAACAAUUUAAAGAAGGUCAGUUUUAUUGUGUCCAAAAGUAUAUUUAUUCUGAUGAUGAUGAACAAAAGAAAGAAAAGAAAGAGAAGAUGAAAACGCCUUUCAUUUUUCUCUUUCUUUUCUUAGGUUAUAUUGUAUUCUAAAUACAAAGUAAAAGAAAAAGUUUCUACGAGAAAACCGCCUCAGGGGUUUAACCAGAGCGUAAACUUUUUUCACGCUCAGUUGACUAAGCUAAUUCCAUGUAUUAAUUGUAUGUAAUUUAAUCCACAAGAGUGUUAACAAUAAUAGGAAAGUUUAAAUUGUUAGAGAAAAACAAAACAAUUCUAUUAAUCCAACUUUUACCUUUAAUCCCAAACCCUAAUCCUUAACCUCUUAUGUAUUUCUUAUGUUAAUUGGAUUGAGUUUGAUUAUCACAUUUAUAUGAUAAUUGUCAUGAUAAUAGUAAUUAAAUAAUUUAUAAAUCAUUUACUUAAUUGUUACUCGUUAAAGUUUCGACAAAUUUAAUGUUCAAAUUGUAUCCUGAUACUUUUUUUAUUGGAAAAUUAUCUUGAAAUUUCAUUUUCUGUAUUCUAAAUUAGAUUAACUAAUUUAAUCCAGUAAUUAAGGGUUAAUUUGAUUUAAUGUGAUUCCAGUAAAUAUUUUAAUCAAUCUCAAACCCCUUAAUUUGAAAGCCUUUAAACAAAUGAAAUUUAAAUUGAGCAAAUUUAAUUCUUGGGUGCGAAAGGUUAAUCAUCUUGAUUAAUUAAGACUUUUGAUCAAUCAUUUAUUCACAAUUAGAAAUGAGUAAUUAAAAAAUUAAUGAUUGACUCUAAUUGUUUGUUGAGUUUUCAAUAAAAUUUUAUUUUUACAAAUAAAUCAAACAUUAAGUUUAUCUGCAAUUUGAAAUUAACAAUUAAACAUCAACAGCAAUUAAUUAUGUUAAUAAAAAGCAAGGUAACAAUUAAAAUAGCCCUUUAAUUGUAUGUUAAUUGGUUGAAUUUUUUUUUCUUCAAUUUAAAUCGUCGCUGAUUUGUUGUGGUUUCAACAGAUUUAUAUUCAAACUCAGGUCACUGAUUGUAAACAAUUAACUAUUCAGUUAAUUAACUUUAUUUUCAGUAAAAAAAAAAGAAAUGAAAAUAAACAAUUAAUUUAAAUUGUAAUUAAUUAAAUCAAUUAAACUGUGGUUUCUUUUGUUGUUAUUACUUUUCAAUCAUACUCAUCACUUGUUGUUUAUGUAACUCAGCUGAUGAUAAUUUGGCCCUGAGGCGUUUUGAAUGAGAAAAAAAAUAUUUUGAUCUUGAUUUAAAUCACUGACACCAACAAGAUUAUAAAUAUAUGUAUUAACUUGAAUAUGAUUAACUAAUUAUCCAAUCUGUUUUUGACAGAUUCCAAAUUUUGUUUAUUCCGUUUUUCUCUCUCUGAUUGUGAAUCAAGUUUUCAGAAUGAUUAUCAUUUGAUUUACACACAAUUCAAUCAUGAUUUGAUCUUCAUCUCUCUCUCUCUCUCAUGUAAAUUGGGUCCUAAAGAUGAAGAUUUAAAAUAUAUGUUUAAAAAAUAUUAAAUCUAAAGGGAGAAACGAUAAAGAUGAAGAUCCGGUUGUGAGGAAGAUGAUGAAUCCACCUAAUAAACGCUCAGUGUGAUGAUGGUGAAUGAAAAUAUUAUAUUGGAAACACCAACACAGGGAAGUUGAAUCAACCUUUAUCACUUUACUUCAUCAUCAUCAUCAUUAUCAUCAUCAUUUUGAUACGUGAGGAUAUUUAUUGUAUUCUUGAUCUUAAUCCGCUUUAAAAAUUUAUGAUCUCAUCUCUCUAACUGGCUUGAAAAUAUAACGGAUUAAAAUACCAUUCAAUAGAUGAUCAGGAAAAGAGGAUUUAAAUUUGAUUAUUAAACAAUAUCAAUGUUAAAAGGACAAGAUGAUCAUCAUGUUUACAUUGUUGUUGAUGAUGAUGAUGAUGAUGGUAGAUGAUGAUUAUAACGGUAAAAAAGUGUUUACAUGUUGAAGGGUUAAAGUCUUUAGGUGUGUAUGUUUAUCCUUCGUCUAGAUGGUUGUUAUCAAUGAAAAGUUUUGUUCUUUUCUCUUUUUCUCUUAAUAGUAUUUAGUUAGAAUGUUAUUAGCACAGUUAAUUAGAUUGAUUGAAUUGUAUUAAAAGAACAAUUUAGUAACAAUUAACAAUAGAAAAAAGAGAAAGAAGAUUAUUUAAAAGGAUAAUCUUUGUUUUCCCUUUAAAAGGUUUUACUGAUUCUCUUUAAGGAUAAAACAAAGAAAUUGAAAGAUAAAUUAUAUUACAAGGAAGAGGAAUAAAACUUUAUAUUGGUAAUCAUGUUUUUCUCUGAUUAAUAUUGAAUAAUUAUGAAAGAAAAUUAAACAUGAGAAGGAAUUAAUUCUCUGAUUAUCAAUGAAGAAAAAGAAUCAUGUUGAUUGAGUCUAAAUAACAACAGAAUUAAGGAUUGGUCAACAUGGAAAAGAAUUUUCAACAAAACUGAUUAACUAAUUAAUGAGAAGUAUGAUUAACAGAAAUUGGAUUUUUUUUUCUUCUCUGUUUUAGAUUGGAUUCAUUUUCUUUCUUCUUUCUAUUGAUCGAACUCACAAAUUGUUCGAAUUUUAAUUACGAUCUCAUUUAUCGAACUUGAAAUGUAAACAGUAGAGUGAGAAUAAGAUAAAUUGCUAUUAUAUUUAAAGUGAACUUUUAUCGCUCAUUUUGGUUGGUGAAAUUUUCUUCUUCUCAAUCGCGUUAAUUGUCGUCUAAUUGUUUUAUUCAAUUUUCUGUGUUCUCAUUGAAAUUAAGUCAUCAUCAUAUUCAUCAAAUGUGAGAAACUGUUGAUGAGAAAUUACCAUGUUCCUAACGGUAGUAACUCGGUAUUUUCUACUCUGUAUAUGCGUGAUUACCGUUAGUCUUCAUUUCUUGGUGAUGAUUCUUAAUUUAUCUUCAUCAAUUUGUCAUAUUCUCUCUAUCUCUCUCUCUCUUUCAUUGUGUUCGUUUUUCUAAUUUGUAAGAGGAAGAAAAACUGACCAUCAUCUGUUUACUUUUCUUCACGUAACUGUUUUUCUAAAAAAAAAGUUUUCUCUCUUCUUUGUUUGGUCAACAGGUAACCAGGUUUAAUCGAUUACGAAGAUGAUUUAAAUUAUCUUUAUUAUGAUGAUGAUUAAGAUAAACACUAGUUAGUGACAAGAUUGACCUGGUAACGCUCCUGAAGAUUAUCCUGAGUGAUGGUCAAACAUAGUGUGUAAGAUGAAGAUGGUCAAUGUCACUGUUUUCAUCUUCUAAUUAAUAUACAACAAGGUUGAAAAGAUGGAAGAUAAAUUAAAACUCUGCCCUUUUCUCUUCAUAAUAUCUUUUAUCAUCAUCAUCAUCAUCAUCAUUAUCAUCUUUAUCUUCAUGUUGUUUCCUUGGAUACUAAAGAUUAAUUAGAGUUUUCUUAAGAGAGACUAUUAAUGAAUUACAUAUCAUAUGUUAUAAUGGAAAGAUGAAGAUGCUAACAAGAAGAAGAAGAAGAGAAAGAAGAUGAUAAUGAUAAUGAAGGUGAUACAGAAAGAAAAGGAAGAUAAUAGAAGAAAGGUAAAUGGAAGAUAAAGAUGAAGAUGAAAAGAAAAAAAAGGAAGAAGAAGCAAAGGAUUCAAGGUAAAAUUUCAUUUCGAAUCAACUUAUUAUUAUUAGCUACCUGUCUUCACAUGAAAAGACGCUCAGAUUUUAAAGAAAAAGCCUCAUGAGGUCAGUAGAGCGACAUAAAGAGUCUAAUUUACUCAGACAAACCAUUUCAUCUUUCUCAUCACUGAAGAUUACUGGAAAUUAUCAUCAUCAUUAUCAUCAAUUUCCUUCCUUUUAUUUUCUUCAAUGGCCUGAGUUUCAUUUGGAUAUUUCAUCAUGGACACUUUUUCCAAUUCCAAAACAACAGAAAAUUUUUAUUCUCAUUAAAAAGAUGAACUUUUUUUCCUUUCCGAGAAAAUUAAGAUGACAGGAAGAUCGUAAUGAUGAUGAUCGAUGAUCCUGAUGAUAUUGACUCAUCAUUAGUUAUCACUCUGGUCUCGAUUGAUGAUUAUCAUGGAAAUGUUCAAUUCUAUCUCUUAGGUUAACCUUUUUAUGAAUGAAUUUAGGUGGACCUUUGGUUUAAGGUGAUCGAUUGGCUUAUUUACCAAGCAUCUUCAUCUAUUUGGUAUCUUCAAUGUUAUUCAAUCAGGAAAAAGUUUUAAUCAUCACAAUAUUUAACAAGAUAUUUCCUCUCUUUUGUUAAUCUUUUCAGCUCUUAAAUUGUAACAAUUAGAUAAUCACCAUUGAAGAUAUGACCCAAUUUCCAAUAAUUUGAUUUAAAAUUAGAUCACGAAAAUUGUUCAAUUGUAAUUGAUCAUUGGUAAUCAUUAUUUACUUUUUAGAUCACUUUCUAGAGUUUGAGACAAUUAUUGGCAUUUUUUGUGAUCAUGGAUUCAGAACUUUCUAAAAUAAUUAACUAUCUUUGCACGAAACUAAUCAAUUAGACAAUUAUUACAUGUAUUGGCAAUUAGAAAGCAAAUCAAGAAGCAUCGAGAGUAAUUAGUAACAUCUUGAUACAUUGUUUUCUUAUUGUUAUUGUUGUCGUUUUGUUUUAAUUGAAUCAACAAUUGAUGAGUUGAUUGUUGAUUCAAUUGAUGAAAGGGAUUCAUAUGAAUGAAUCUGUUGAAAAAGACAAUCAAAUUAUAUCUUGAUGGUCCAGUUAUGUUACCAUAAUUGUGUCGAUAAUAUUUGAAUAGAUUUUGCGUUAAUUAAUCAUAAUUAAGGGUUAUGAUAAGGGUUAUCAACUUGUCAUCUGUAGUAUUUAAUUGAGAUAAUUUAAUAUUGGUCCAUUAUCGUUUUGACCUGAAAAUGAUGUGAAAUCGUGGGCACAAUUCAUUGUGAUUUAGCUGAUUGAUCAAGAAAAGAAAACCACAAUUAAAAUCUCUAGCAAAAGCUAUUAAUUUUUCCAUUAAUACAAUUAACUUUUCAACUAAUCAAUAGAUUCAAUCAACAACAACAACAAAUCCAAGAAAAUAUAAGGUAAACAAUUAAACUUAAACCAUUAACUUUCAAAACUUACGAAGCAAAUUGUUAUGAUUACCAAUUGUUAAUCUAAUUGCUUCCCUUCAAUUCCUACUAGGUCUUGAUGUCAUUGGCUUAAUUGUUGACCAAUUUCAAUUAAAUCAAAAUCAUCCAACUUCAAAUGUAAUGUUUUCAUUUGAUUGUUGAAAACUUUUCCAAAUCACAACCUUAAUUGUUGCAACUAUUGAACCAAAAUACUUUCCUAUGAUUUAACCCUCACAAUUAUACACUUAAACAAUUAACUAAUAGUCUAAUAAUACAUUGAUACAAUUAGAUUAAGAUUUAAUUGAUUGCAAGUGAAUACAAAAUCAUUUAUGAUCAAGUUUGAUGAGUUCAAAGUGAAUCUAUUGGGUGAAUUACUGUUGUAAUUGUGGUAUUGGAUCAAUUGUAAUGCUAAUUAAUCCUAAUUAAUGGUGAUUAUAAGGGUUACCAAUCAAGUGAAUAAUGUUAAUUAUGUUUUCGUUUUGUAUUAAUAACAAACCACCACCUCUAAUUGUGU